rfam:Schistosoma curassoni strain Dakar, Senegal genome assembly, scaffold: SCTD_scaffold0017674
AUCCAGGUGACGAGUCCGGAAUAGGACAAAACGCACGUCCUGGAU